AGGUUUGACCUCGGAUC
rnacentral:rRNA from 1 species